rnacentral:misc_RNA from 1 species
CUUUUUUUUUUUCUUCAAAUAUGAUUUUCACCAAGAGAAUUCUGGGUUUGUGUUAUUUAUGUAUAGGAAACUUUUUAUCCACUUAGCAUUGCUGAGAUUGCUGGAUAGUGAUGAGUUCCUAAUGAUUUGGAGAGAGAUGCUAUGUAAUGAAAAUAUCAUCAUAAAUUGUUGAUCUUUUACAUCGGAUCAAUGACUAUACCUAUGUUUUCCUUGCCAAGUAUCCAUCUUAGAUUGUCAAGUGGUUGUGUGUCUCCUCUCUGUGUGCAUGUGUGUUUAUAUACUUUAGUUUAGCUGUCAGUGUAUUAUAAUUUUGGCACCACAUACAUACCAAAGAUACAAUUUACUGCUGUAUUUUCUUUCUUAAUAAUGAUACAACUUGUUCCAGCCCUAUUUGGGCGUGGAGAGAAUGAAGCUAAAUAAUCAUGAGUCAACUAAUUUUUCUCAUUCUGGCUUUAGUUUUGUGAACAUGAUAUUGCAUGCGACAGACUAUGUGCUCUUCAUAUUGCUAAUGUUCUAGUUUAUUCUGUUUGAUACUUUGUAUGUAUGUCCAUUGUGAUGUGGUAUUGUUAAAUAUAAAAGUGUGGAGAAAGAUAUGUAUGAUUGUGAAUAUACCGACAAUAACAUGCUAGGUGGGGAAUUGUUGGUUCCUGUGUUUGUUUAUUUGGAUGAAAAAUUCCAAAUGAUGGAACUCUGAAAGCUUGUUAUUUAUGCUAGCUAUUGUGAUCAGCUUAGUAGUAGUUUUCCUGAUUGUAUUUUAUUUCUUGUUUGGUAAUUUCCAGUAUAAGAGAAUACUGCAAUGAGUGUUCAUUUGCUGUAUAUGUAUCAGAUGAGAAGAUGCAAUCACUUUCUCAUUGGUUUGGCUUACACUUUUGUCCUGAGACUGAUAGAUCUUUUAUGUUCCUGUUGAGAUUUAUUCUGUUGCAUAACUACUCUGUCUCAUAUUGUGCAAUUGGAUUUUGGAGUAUCGGUUUCUAAUCUCUCUCAUGACUGAUUUCAUAAUGUAUUAGA